rnacentral:rRNA from 1 species
ACUCCUACGGGAGGCAGCAGUGGGGAAUAUUGGACAAUGGGGGAAACCCUGAUCCAGCCAAGCCGCGUGAGUGAAGAAGGCCUUAGGGUUGUAAAACUCUUUCAGCGGGGAAGAUGAUGACGGUACCCGCAGAAGGAGCCCCGGCUAACUCCGUGCCAGCAGCCGCGGUAAU